rnacentral:rRNA from 1 species
GAUGAACGCUGGCGGCGUGCCUAAUACAUGCAAGUCGAGCGAACAGACGAGGAGCUUGCUCCUCUGACGUUAGCGGCGGACGGGUGAGUAAUACGUGGAUAACCUACCUAUAAGACUGGGAUAACUUCGGGAAACCGGAGCUAAUACCGGAUAAUCUAUUGAACCGCAUUGUUCAAUAGUGAAAGACGGUUUUGCUGGCACUUAUAGAUGGAUCCGCGCCGCAUUAGCUAGUUGGUAAGUUAAGGGCUUACCAAGGCAAGGAUGCGUAGCCGACCUGAGAGGGGGAUCGGCCACCCGGGAACGGGGACAGGGUCAAGACGCCUACGGGAGGCAGCAGAAGGGAAUCGGACGCAAAGGGCGAAAGCCUGACGGAGCAACGCCGCGUGAGUGAUGAAGGUCUUCGGAGCGUAAAACUGGGUUAUUAGGGAAGAACAAAUGUGUAAGUAACUAUGCCCGUCUUGACGGUACCUAAUCAGAAAGCAACGGCUAACUACGUG